rnacentral:rRNA from 1 species
AACUAACGCUGGCGGCAUGCCUAACACAUGCAAGUCGAACGAGACCUUCGGGUCUAGUGGCGCACGGGUGCGUAACGCGUGGGAACCUGCCCUUAGGUUCGGAAUAACUCCCCGAAAGGGGUGCUAAUACCGGAUAAUGUCUUCGGACCAAAGAUUUAUCGCCUUUGGAUGGGCCCGCGUUGGAUUAGCUAGUUGGUAGGGUAAAAGCCUACCAAGGCGACGAUCCAUAGCUGGUCUGAGAGGAUGAUCAGCCACACUGGGACUGAGACACGGCCCAGACUCCUACGGGAGGAAGCAGUGGGGAAUAUUGGACAAUGGGCGAAAGCCUGAUCCAGCAAUGCCGCGUGAGUGAUGAAGGCCUUAGGGUUGUAAAGCUCUUUUACCCGGGAUGAUAAUGACAGUACCGGGAGAAUAAGCUCAGGAUAAAUCCGUG